CAGCAGCCGCGGUAAUACGAAGGGGGCUAGCGUUGCUCGGAAUCACUGGGCGUAAAGGGUGCGUAGGCGGGUCUUUAAGUCAGAGGUGAAAUCCUGGAGCUCAACUCCAGAACUGCCUUUGAUACUGAGGAUCUUGAGUUCGGGAGAGGUGAGUGGAACUGCGAGUGUAGAGGUGAAAUUCGUAGAUAUUCGCAAGAACACCAGUGGCGAAGGCGGCUCACUGGCCCGAUACUGACGCUGAGGCACGAAAGCGUGGGGAGCAAACAGGAUUAGAUACCCCCGUAGUCCCUGUCUCUUAUAC
rnacentral:rRNA from 1 species